GGACACUUUGGUGAGGCCCAUCUGUGUGUGUGUCUUCCACAAAGCGUAAGGCAUCAUUGCCCGUCUGUAAUUCCUGUUAAAGAUGAUUGAUACGUUGUCAGAGCUCAGCUCAGAUACCUCCCACCUGUGGGAACUUGUGUUCAGUCGAGGAAUGCUGUGAACUGUCAGCUCCUUUCUUCUUUUCUGGGAAUACUUUAAGGCUGGUGAUAAAAAAAAGGAUGAUAUACCUCUCAAACAUGGAGGUUCACCGCUCUGAAGCCUUUAAAUACAAUCUCGAGAACAAGCACCCUCAACUAAACAAGUCUCUACUUGGAAAAGAUCCAAGUCUUCCCCACAGAACAAGGCUCGUCUAAACAAAGUCAGCUGGUCUUGAUGGGGUCGUCGGGCAGUUCCUGCCACCUGCUGCUUAUCUUCAGGAUUGCCUCCACCCACCUCCAGUAUUUAAGCCGGCCUGAUCUACCAGUCUUCGCCAGUUCGUCAGAUACUCCUGCGUUUUUUCCCUGUGUCCUGGUCCUCGGCUUUGAUUGCCUCGUCUCCCUGCCUCGCCAGUUCCUGUCCGGAGCUCCUGCAUCCAGCCUCCCAAUUUCUAUCUUCAUCAACCUGUUUAAAUAAACUUCUGUACCGAAGAGGUCGGCUUGUGAGUCCAGUUAUUCGAAAGAAACCUAACAAUCGGAGGCCAUUGACAUGAGUGCACUGGGAUGUGUCUUGGCAUUCCAGUUUUUUGGCCGGGACAUCUUCAAUGGAAAAUCAACAUACGAUGUAAUGAAAACGGUUUGCUGUCUACUUGGUCAGCCACAAGACCACCUGCUGAAAAAACAGACCUG
ensembl:lncRNA